AGUGAACGCUGGCGGUAGGCCUAACACAUGCAAGUCGAACGGCAGCACAGUAAGAGCUUGCUCUUACGGGUGGCGAGUGGCGGACGGGUGAGGAAUAUAUCGGAAUCUACUUUUUCGUGGGGGAUAACGUAGGGAAACUUACGCUAAUACCGCAUACGACCUACGGGUGAAAGCAGGGGAUCUUCGGACCUUGCGCGAUUGAAUGAGCCGAUGUCGGAUUAGCUAGUUGGCGGGGUAAAGGCCCACCAAGGCGACGAUCCGUAGCUGGUCUGAGAGGAUGAUCAGCCACACUGGAACUGAGACACGGUCCAGACUCCUACGGGAGGCAGCAGUGGGGAAUAUUGGACAAUGGGCGCAAGCCUGAUCCAGCCAUACCGCGUGGGUGAAGAAGGCCUUCGGGUUGUAAAGCCCUUUUGUUGGGAAAGAAAAGCAGCAGGUUAAUACCCCGCGGUUCUGACGGUACCCAAAGAAUAAGCACCGGCUAACUUCGUG
rnacentral:rRNA from 1 species